rnacentral:rRNA from 1 species
GUAGGUGGCAAGCGUUGUCCGGAAUUAUUGGGCGUAAAGCGCGCGCAGGCGGUUCUUUAAGUCUGAUGUGAAAGCCCACGGCUCAACCGUGGAGGGUCAUUGGAAACUGGAGAACUUGAGUACAGAAGAGGAAAGCGGAAUUCCACGUGUAGCGGUGAAAUGCGUAGAGAUGUGGAGGAACACAAGUGGCGAAGGCGGCUUUCUGGUCUGUAACUGACGCUGAGGCGCGAAAGCGUGGGGAGCAAACAGGAUUAGAUACCCUGGUAGUCCACGCCGUAAACGAUGAGUGCUAAGUGUUAGGGGGUUUCCGCCCCCCUUAGUGCUGCAGCUAACGCAUUAAGCACUCCGCCUGGGAGUACGGCCGCAAGGCUG